rnacentral:rRNA from 1 species
GACGAACGCUGGCGGCGUGCUUAACACAUGCAAGUCGAACGGAAAGGCCCUGCUUUUGUGGGGUGCUCGAGUGGCGAACGGGUGAGUAACACGUGAGUAACCUGCCCUUGACUUUGGGAUAACUUCAGGAAACUGGGGCUAAUACCGGAUAGGAGCUCCUGCUGCAUGGUGGGGGUUGGAAAGUUUCGGCGGGUGGGGAUGGACUCGCGGCUUAUCAGCUUGUUGGUGGGGUAGUGGCUUACCAAGGCUUUGACGGGUAGCCGGCCUGAGAGGGUGACCGGCCACCUUGGGACUGAGAUACGGACCAGACUCCUACGGGAGGCAGUAGUGGGGAAUAUUGCACAAUGGGCGGAAGCCUGAUGCAGCAACGCCGCGUGCGGGAUGACGGCCUUCGGGUUGUAAACCGCUUUCGCCUGUGACGAAGCGUUAGUGACGGUAAUGGGUAAAGAAGCACCGGCUAACUACGUG